rnacentral:rRNA from 1 species
GUCAACGAUCAUACCAUGUUGAAAACACCAGUUCUCGUCCGAUCACUGAAGUUAAGCAACAUCGGGCGCGAUUAGUACUUAGAUGGGUGACCGCUUGGGAACGGGUGCGAUAAUUGGAU